rnacentral:lncRNA from 1 species
CGCAAACAGAUCAGCUGCAAAGUGCUACAGCUUCUACUAUUACCACUGACAGUGGAGGCCCGCUUAUCUUUUCCAAACUUCUCGCAAGUGAUGUUUAAGUGCCUGCAAGCCAAUAUCAUACAAAGUCUGGAAGCCUGGCAACAACCGCUUCUCACAGUAAUGUAAGUUGAGUUACUAAACUACUGGACCUCACAUCAAACUGGCUGAAGAAUAUUUUGCUUUACCGAUUCGACGAGGGAGGAUGUGGAAAAUGUGGUUGUGUUCACCUCUGGCAGAAGGACAACGGCAAAGAGUUGCUCUAGUAAUAAAAAGCUGUACUUCUUCAUAAAAGUUACAUGCCUGUCAAGGAGUGCAAGGCAUUCCCCCACUUUCUUCUCUGUGAUACUGGGAGGAAUAUUGGUUGGAAAGCAGGAGUGGUAGCCUUGGUUAAAGGCAUGAAAAUGACCUUCAGAUGACUUCAUUAGCAAGUGAUGAUUAUGCUCAAAUGUCCUUUGAGAUGGUGUAAAGAUAUGUAACAUAAAUACUAAAAUUGGUAUGGAUGGAAAGGCCUGUCUGACAGCACCAAAAGAAACAAUGGAGCGAAAUAACAAAGCUACAUCACCAUGGAAGUGCCAUUCUUCUCCCUGCUAUCUCAACAUUAAGACAGACCAUCAUCAUAAAGAUAAGUGACAUGCAGAAGCAAACAGAAGGGGCAUCAGCCUUGCUGAAGAGUCACAGAGGCAAGAAUAUUGCUCCAUAGUAACUGUUGACUCCUAAAGGUUAUACAAACCUGUCCUAACCUGGUUUAUUGUCAUCUAAGAGGAAUUCAAGAAAUGUAGUGACAACCUGACAGCUACUUGCUAUUGCCAUCCAUAUCACGUACAGGUGGUCCUGGUAAAACUGCUUGGGCAUGCACGUGUCUCAGUGCUUCCAAGUAUGUGGGCAUGAAGCUGUGAAUGGGUAAACCGACUCACACAGAGGACUGUAAACUAAAAUCAUGUUCUACCAGCAUAAGGUCUUGUAUUGCCUUUCUGGCACCAAUAACCUGCAAGGACAAGUACCUCCCAUUGUGUAACGCUAUGUUAUGGACGUAGUUAAUGGGUUUGCCUUUCUCUUGAGCAGAGUGGUUCACAAAUCCCAAUUCUGUUUGCCCAACGCUCUGUUCAGUAAUUUCAAAAUCGGUAAUUAGGGGAGGACGUUGGAGGAUUUCCAAUAUAUAGCAAGGCAAGCUUAAUUAAUGGUUUUAAAAGUGGAAUCUGUUAAUCACGGACGGAAAUCUAUGUCAUGACUGCUUAGCGCAGAGUAAGAGUUGUCUCUGACAACUCUGCUGAUCCCUUGCAAAUCAAUAUUCUGAACUGAAGUGACCAGUUUGGAUGAUAUUAUCAUACAGCUGCACAUGGCAAAAUGGCUCUAUGAACAGCUGAGGACAUGAAUUCCUGUUCUAGCGUCUGCUAGGUCAGACAGCUUCAGUUAAGAGUUUCAUUACAACUAGAGAUAAGCAUUCUUCUGUGAACAUUAAUUUAAAGGUAAUAUUCAGUAAAGCAGACCACAGGAGAGUGUGGUCAGAAAUGACACAGCCACUCUGUGUAACUCAGUGGUCCAGAAGGAACAGGGAUGACAUGAUCACAGCACUCACUCUGGUGAUAACCCUUACAGAUGAAAGCCAUGAUAGUCUAUAUUUAAGAUGACAAAAUUGCAACUGAUAUAGCUUAUGGGAAGUAUAAAUCCCGCAUUUUUAAGCUAAUUCUUCAUUUCAUUUAUCUUUGCUUUGUCAAAACAAGCAGUAAUUCCAUCUGAUGUCUAUAAGUAAAACACCACCUAAUAAACCUUAAUGAACACUGCUGAAGGAUGUAGAGUCCCUGGAUAUAGCUGAAACUCCCUGCCAGAACAGAGGGAAGGGUCCUUACUGGAAGGGAUACAGAGAAGAAGAAAAGACCAUGAGAAAAUGAACUAUGAAUGUUGACAACAUGACAGAUAGCAUCUGCAGUGGUUAUUGUUAGCCUCCACACACAUUCCCAGGACAGUUACUCCCUCUUGCAGUGUCAGCCACAGAUAACCUUUGAUGGCUUAAAGGGUACCAAACAAGAUGUUUAGGGAAAAUACACUGAUUACAUCUGUCCCUUGCUUCACCUUCCUGCUACGCUGCUCUCUUCCCUCUACUUGCUAUCUAAAUGCUGGUAGGAAACAUUGCUAUCUUUCAUUGUGCAGUACUAUAUAGUGGACUUAUAUAAUGGGUUUGCCUUUUUCUUGAAAUUCUCUCUGAGUUUGUUCUCAUGGUUCAACCUUCAGCAAAGAAACUGUAGCGAAGGACAUCACAAGAGAUGACAUAUUUAUCUAUAGGAGCUCUGUUUCUUCCUCAUUCCUUUCCUUGUUCCUUCCACCUCUCUUUUUAGGGAGAAACAGACAGUUCUGGUGGAAAGCAAUGCAUACAUACAGAGAUUUAAUUUCUUAGAAAAAUCUAGGAAUGUAGCCACAGAAUGACACAGCACUUGCUGGUAUAUUGCCACACACUGCCCUAUCUUACUUGGAACAGGGCUUCCUAUAGGCUUAAAUUUAUAUAUCUGUGUAAACAACACAUUUAAAGCCACUAUCAGUUCCUUAGAAAAAUACUUUACAAAUGCAAUGUUUUUUCAAGGAUUCCAGUGUAUAAAAAUUGUUCUAUUUUCUUGACAUCACAUUUUGGAUUCUUUUUAAGAAUGAAUUACAAGUGUGACUUGAUAUCUGUAAUGUGGUUCAGUACUAUCCCCUCAUAGGAUAGUGAUAUCCUAUAGUGAGUAUAGUGAGAUAUAUAUAGAGAGAUAUCCUAUAGUGAGAUAUAUAGAGAGAGAUAUCCUAUAGGAUAGUGAGGAUCUAUGUUUUUACCUUUCAGCAUGAUUAUCUUAUCUUGCUGUUGUUUUUAACCACCUAUCUUGUUACUUAUUUAUAUUAUAUUACAAAGCCUUUGCUGAAUAAGAGCACCUGGGAUUUGCAGUGACAGGUAAAAAAUAUAUAUAUAUUGCACUUAUAUCCAGCAGUCCCAAUGCUACCUGUGAUUAUUCUGUAACACUUUCCAUGACAUUUCAUACAUAUUUAAGCCCUAAGACAAGGGAUGCUGUGGUUACCAGUACCAGUCAACAUAAAGUCUGAGGGAUGAACUGGGUUUCACCUGUUUGGGACCCUCACUUUCCCCGUGGCUGAUUUUGAGAGGGAGAAUAGUUACUACUUAACAACUCAUGGCAAAUUCUUCUUUUCCCUCUCCUAUUGCCUAUGUAAAUGGAGGCAGGAGAGUAUUUUCAUAUUUCUGCCUGCCAACUCAUUUCUUUGCAUUCAAAAUGUUACCAGAAUAUUUAUCUUCUGAAGCAUUCUGUAGGAGCUGAAAAUGUUCUAGGUAUUAAUAAAAUGCUUAAAAGAUCAGUAGCGUACUGCCCCUAGAAAUUUCCACUGAGAAAGCAAGGGGAGGAGACACUGAUGAAUGACUCUAGGCCACCCAUGGAAAAGAGGGAAAAGUGUUUCCAAAUGCACUGUUAAGCCUGUAUGAUAUAUAUUUUUUUAUUCUAAACGUCCUCUGAGAUGGAAUUUCUGACCUUCACCAUCUUUAACUGUUGUUUUCUUCUUUUUUUCCCACAUGAACACUGCUAAAUCUGUGCCACUGUCAAAAUGCUGAGUAAGCGUUUGAAAUGUGUCUUCGAUGCACCAUUUCGGUUAGUGCUUUAAAUGCUUGCUGUGCAUUUAAAAACUUUGUCCUGGAAUAGGUGCAAUUUCACUGCAGAUACUGAGCAAACCAUAAUGUUGCUACCUAAACAAAUGCCACUGAGGCAUUGCAGAAGACAGAAUAUCAUCAUAUCUAAGAAAUAAAACCAAAGACCACUUGAAACUCUAUCAAAAGGCUGUAUUGCUUUCAAAAAUAUAUAAAAGAAACAGGAUAAUUUUCUACAUUAACAAGCAGCAUCGUGCAAUAGCAGUGGAUCUCUAGAUUGGUUUUCAGGAGUUUAACGCUAUACUAAACAUACGUGUUUGUUUUGCCUCUUACUUUUACUGUAGAUUGUCAUUUGAUUCUGUGUGCCUGAUUACCUGCUGGCAGCUGGAACACAUUUCUGAUUUAAUUUCACUCAAAGGGAAUCCAGUAUGUGUGCUCUGAGACCACUAAGUGCUAUAAACCAAUGUGCAGUAAGCAAGGACAAUCAGAAGGUUUGCUUCAAAAAUUCACUAUUGAUCUGAACUAGAAUGCUAAUGUUAACCCCUGAAGACUUACUAUCAAGGUCCUGGAGUAACUCUCUUCGGAGGCAACCUAAAUAAAAAUUAAGCAUUAUCUGAAAACUUAUCUACUCCUUUUUUUUUUUUUUUUUUCCCACUUGGUCCUAGCUUCCCCAUAAGCAUUCAUAAAGUCAUAGAACCAUAGAAUUGUUCAGGUUGAGAAAGGCCUUAAAGAUCAUUAAGCCCAACCUUAACCUAACCAUACUACCCUAACCCUAACAACCCUCCGCUAAAUCAUGUCCCUG